GCGAACGCUGGCGGCGCGCCUAAAGCAUGCAAGUCGAACGGGCACCCUUCGGGGUGCUCAGUGGCGGACGGCUGAGUAACACGUGGGUAACCUGCCCGAAGUGGGGAAUAACUCGUGGAAACAUGGGCUAAUACCGCAUGGGGUCUGUUCUCACAAGGGGCAGACUAAAGGCACCUUCGGGUGUCGCUUCCGGAGGGGCCCGCGGCCCAUCAGCUAUUGGUGGGGUAAUGGCUCACCAAGGCGAUGACGGGUAGCUGGCCUGAGAGGGUGGUCAGCAGACUGGGACUGAGACACGGCCCAGACUCCUACGGGAGGCAGCAGCUAGGAAUCUUGCCAAUGGGCGAAAGCCUGAUGCAGCGACGCCGCGUGGGCGAUGAAGUCCUUCGGGAUGUAAGCCCUUUUCGGGAGGAAGACUUCGGACGGUACUCCCGGAAUAAGCACCGGCGAACUACUGCCAGCAGCCGCGGUAAUACGUAGGGUGCAAGCGUUGCCCGGAUUUACUGGGCGUAAACGUGUGUAGGCGGUUCGGAAAGUUGGGCGUGAAAGCCCCCGGCUCAACCGGGGGAGGCCUCCAAAACUACCGGACUCGAGGGCGGAAGAGGAAGGUGGAAUUCCCGGUGUAGCGGUGAAUGCGUAGAUAUCGGGAGGAACACCAGUGGCGAAGGCGGCCUUCUGGUCCGUUCCUGACCUGAGACACGAAGGCUAGGGGAGCGAACAGGAUUAGAUACCCUGGUAGUCCACGCCGUAACGAUGGGCACUAGGUGUGGGAGGUGUCGACUCCUCCCGUGCCGUAGCUAACGCAUUAAUGCCCCGCCUGGGGAGUACGGCCGCAAGGCUAAAACUCAAAUGAAUUGA
rnacentral:rRNA from 1 species